UACGGAGGGGGCUAGCGUUGUUCGGAAUUACUGGGCGUUAAGCGCACGUAGGCGGACUGUUAAGUCGGGGGUGAAAUCCUGGGGCUCAACCUCAGAAUUGCCUCCGAUACUGGCAGUCUCGAGUGCGGGAGAGGUGAGUGGAAUUCCCAGUGUAGAGGUGAAAUUCGUAGAUAUUGGGAAGAACACCAGUGGCGAAGGCGGCUCACUGGCCCGUAACUGACGCUGAGGUGCGAAAGCGUGGGGAGCAAACAGG
rnacentral:rRNA from 1 species